AGUGAACGCUGGCGGUAGGCCUAACACAUGCAAGUCGAACGGCAGCACAGUAAGAGCUUGCUCUUACGGGUGGCGAGUGGCGGACGGGUGAGGAAUACAUCGGAAUCUACUUUUUCGUGGGGGCUAACGUCGGGAAACUUCCGCUAAUACCGCAUUCGACCUCCGGGUGAAAGCAGGGGAACUUCGGACCUUGCGCGAUUGAAUGAGCCGAUGUCGGAUUAGCUAGUUGGCGGGGUAAAGGCCCACCAAGGCGACGAUCCGUAGCUGGUCUGAGAGGAUGAUCAGCAACACUGGAACUGAGACACGGUCCAGACUCCUACGGGAGGCAGCAGUGGGGAAUAUUGGACAAUGGGCGCAAGCCUGAUCCAGCCAUACCGCGUGGGUGAAGAAGGCCUUCGGGUUGUAAAGCCCUUUUGUUGGGAAAGAAAAGCAGCAGGUUAAUACCCCGCUGUUCUGACGGUACCCAAAGAAUAAGCACCGGCUAACUUCGUG
rnacentral:rRNA from 1 species